CUUGAUAUUUGGAAUAAUUGCAGUAACUGUUGAAUAUUGAACCUUAGGCUAAAAAACAUGUUAUAUCUGCCUGGGAAUUUCCUGGUUGUUUUGCAGGUGAGGGUUUGGGUGCAUUGCAUUCUCCCUUCACACACACACUUUGGCAUCUAUUGAGUGGGGCCCUAUACCCGGGUCUGAGCGUAACUUAGAAUUAGAGGAAUUGUGUAGCGGUGUCACUCUGGGAUGUACUUCCUGUUUGGCUAUCGUGAUAACUCCAGCUAGAAGCUGUUCUCUUCAUUUGUGUCUCCGCACCUAGUUGAUUACUCGACUGUUGUGGAAAUACUAUGAAGGUGGCCAUAGCUCUAGUGACCAUCGACCCCUAGGUUCAAGAUACUAUCCUUGUGAGGUUGCAUAUACUUGACCACCAAUCUGAAGUGUCGAACCUUUAUUUAGG
rnacentral:lncRNA from 1 species